AAAUCUGGACCCCACACCCACCCAAUUAGGUCUCCUAUUAACUCGCUCUCACUUUCUCUCUUACCUCUCUCUCCACAAACGAUCUCAUUCGCCGUCGUUUCCUCAGGCGAAUCUAAUUUAUUCUAUUUAUUCUAUUUUUAAUUUCGAUCAUCAUCUCUGCUACAAUUCCGUUGUUUCGAUCUCGCUUAUUGUUCCCGGCGAUAUGCAUUUAUGAUCAUUUGAUUCCCUCGUGAUUGGCGCCGACAUUUAUCUCUCCCGCCAGGGUGCAUUGUUGUUGCUGAAGAGCGAUUGACCGUUGUUCGAGUGGAAUUGAGCACAGAGAGAGAGAGAGAGAGAGAGAGAGAGAGAGAGAGUUUAGUGCCUCCAAUUGUGUGCUGAAGCCGGGAGAUGUCGGGCCCACUGGAUCGCUUC
rnacentral:misc_RNA from 1 species